CCUACGGGAGGCUGCAGUGAGGAAUAUUGGUCAAUGGGUGGAAGCCUGAACCAGCCAAGUAGCGUGCGGGAUGAAGGCCCUACGGGUCGUAAACCGCUUUUGCACGGGGAUAACACCCUCCACUUGUGGAGGUCUGCAGGUACCGUGCGAAUAAGGGCCGGCUAAUUCCGGGCCAGCAGCCGCGGUAAUACGGAAGGCCCGAGCGUUAUCCGGAUUUAUUGGGUUUAAAGGGUGCGUAGGCGGAAUUUCAAGUCAGCGGUAAAAAUUCGGGGCUCAACCCCGUCGUGCCGUUGAAACUGAUGGUCUUGAGUGGGCGAGAAGUAUGCGGAAUGCGUGGUGUAGCGGUGAAAUGCAUAGAUAUCACGCAGAACUCCGAUUGCGAAGGCAGCAUACCGGCGCCCAACUGACGCUGAAGCACGAAAGCGUGGGUAUCGAACAGGAUUAGAUACCCUUGUAGUC
rnacentral:rRNA from 1 species